GGACACCUUUCGUGCUCUGUUGAGCCUCCGUUGGCUGCCUUUUCACCUUCUAAAUCACCAUCACCAUGGGUUUGGCUCUUGCUCUCCAUUGAUGACCACCAAAAACAGAUGCAAGAAGUCCUCUCUCUCCCUUUCUUAUCUGUAGGCCGUGGCCAAGAACGAUACUCUUGGAUUGAAAAGCGUAAGAGCAGAGUGAGUUUGUUUUAUAGGAGAGAUGGUGGUGAUUAGUUUUAUGACUAAAAUGCCCUUCGUGAAGUGAAUAUUUUUUCUUUAAGAUGAUUUGGAGUCGCCAUGUUGGUCUUAAACGCAAGCAUCCUACGAGUGGAA
rnacentral:misc_RNA from 1 species